UACGUAGGUGGCAAGCGUUGUUCGGAAUUAUUGGGCGUAAAGGGCGCGUAGGCGGUUUGUUAAGUCGGCUGUGAAAGCCCGGGGCUCAACCCCGGAGGGUCAGCCGAUACUGGCAGACUAGAGUACGGAAGAGGUAGCUGGAAUUCCCGGUGUAGCGGUGAAAUGCGUAGAUAUAGGAAGGAACACCAGUGGCGAAGGCGACUACCUGGACUGAUACUGACACUGAGGUGCGAAAGCGUGGGGAGCAAACAGG
rnacentral:rRNA from 1 species